CUAAAUAUUUGGCAAACCUAUAGAAAUGUAGGGACGCAAAGCCAUGGGUCUUCAAUAGGACUAAGAAACUAUUAAGAUUGCCAGGUUGCGAAG
rfam:Paenibacillus sp. Soil787 contig_19, whole genome shotgun sequence.